rnacentral:rRNA from 1 species
UACAGAGGGGGCAAGCGUUAUUCGGAAUUAUUGGGCGUAAAGGGCGCGUAGGCGGCUUUGCAAGUGACGGGUGAAAUCCCUCGGCUUAACCGAGGAACUGCCUGUCAAACUGCAUGGCUUGAGACCGGGAGAGGUGAGUGGAAUUCCCAGUGUAGCGGUGAAGUGCGUAGAUAUUGGGAGGAACACCAGUGGCGAAGGCGGCUCACUGGCCCGGUACUGACGCUGAGGUGCGAAAGCGUGGGGAGCAAACAGGG